CAUCUGUGGGAUGUGCUGAACAAACAAAUCCGAUCCAUGGAGGCCCCACCUCACAACUUACAGGACUUAAAGGAUCUGCUGCUAACAUACCACAGCACACCUUCAUGAAGCUAGUGGAGUCCAUAUUGACGGGUCAGGGCUGUUUUGGCGGCAAAAGGAGGACCAACACAAUAUUAGGAGGGUGGUCAUAGUGUUAUGCCUGAUCGGUGUAUACACAAUAUCUACACACUGAAACUUUUUACUGUCAGGUUCUAAGGUAAAUUUACCUAAAAGUCCUAAAGUUGAUUUUACAUGUGUUUGUUGGACCUUUGUAGGUCUAGGAACAACAUUCCUGUAAAAGAAACAUACACAUUAGCAACACCUAAUUAACAUUAACAAGACCUAAAAUUACAAUGUUGUCAAAGCCCCAAUUCCAGUCCUAAAUCUAACCAUACAUACAAUGUGAUCCUGAUUCUGGAACAUCUGCAACCUGCUGAAUUUUCAUGCUGGUCCAGGCUUAUUCUGAUUAGUCCAUAUGCUAGUUAGCAUAGUCAUUGGGUCUCAUUCAAUAGUAAUUGCAUGUAUUAUUCGUAUUUAUAAGCACAGGAGAAGAAAAAAAAAAAAAAAAAAAAAGCCUAAUUUACAACACGUGCAUACGCACAUAGAUUUGUUCUUAACAUCAUUCUUACUGUAAUGAAUGUGGAGUAUUCUAAAUGAGCGACCGUGUGCCCGAGGAUAGAAAUUUGCAUAAAAUACACCAAAACAUUUCCAUAUAAGGGCUUUCUGCACACCCUUUCCUUUCAUUGCUCUCAGCAAACAUGAUGCUCUCUAGGGCACGCUCUCAUCUAAGAGAUCCUCAAGCACUGUCAAGUGUGCCAUCCUCCAAACAAGUUCAAACAAAAUAAACAUCUUUAAUGCAGACCCAGAUUAGAGAAUAAAAUUUAGAAUGAAAGUUAUUGAUAAAUUCAUGAAAAUCUUCGUAUGCAGAUGUCACACGCAUGGUUAGUGAAUGAGACCCAUUGUUUUCUCCAGCAAAGCAUGUUGGUGAACAUCGGUUAGCAUGGUUUGUAGUUCUAAGCUGGUUAAUUAAACUAGUCUUGUCGGUUAAGUUAGAUCAGCAGCCUGAUGCCAUCUUUUAAGCCAGGCAACUCCACACUACAGUUUCAUGAAACAACAUGGACCAUUAAAUGACCAAACCCCUUCAGAGGUUUUCAAAAUCCACAGGUGGCUAGGGGAGCUGGGAAGCAGGGCCUGCUGCUGAGCUACAUAUGCUAAUGAUUCAUUCAUUUAGCAGUCCAUUACGCCUCAGCAUUCAGUGUUCCUGGGCCAAGAGGGAGGGUCCUGACGACUGAACACUGCUGCUUGACAAACUGAGCCUCUGUGCUUAUAUGCCCACGGCCACAUCACAUGCAUCUGUUUGGUCAUGCUGAUGAGAUAUGCUCUCCAUUUUCCUAAGCCUCCAAAGGUAUGGUGGGCAUUUACUGCGUAGAAAAAUAACUAAUAGACAUUAGCUGCUUUCUUUGUAAAGUAAAAGAUAAAUGCACAGAAGUUUUAUGUUUUCUUUAUUUAUUUAUUUUAGUUUGGUUAAAGCCAUAACAGUCUAAAUUUCUAAUGUCAGUCGGCACAUCCCGUGAAUAUUAAGAGCUUUUUCACAUGUUAUUGCCCUUAAACUGUCAAAUACACACAAGGUUAUGUCAAAAACAAACAGUUCUCAUAAACAGUCGGUUAUGUCAGUGAACGUAAACAGCAAGUAAAGAAAUCACAUCUGUAUAUUGAAUCAGAUCUGUGUAUUAAAAUGAAAGCAGUGUAAUACAGUACCUACUGCUUCACAUAUAUGCUGUUAAUAUGAAUCAAACAACAAAAGAAAAACAGAAAAUCACUCACUGCUCUUGAUUGAAUAGCUUAGUAGCUUUAAUAAGAAUGAAUUUCUUACUUGAAUGCAGUUGUUAGAUGCUCUGGUGAGGAGAUAAACAUACAGGGUGUAUGCUAAUAGGGCAGAUUCCGUCAGCAGUUUAGGGCGGAGCCAAAGCAUUUGUAACAUCACAAAAGCUACAAUCUGCGACACUGCUUAUGAUUUAUUGGGAUUAUAAAAAGAGGAGUGGGUGGAUUUUUACCAUUAUAGGGUGGUUGUGUAUGUUUAAACACCAUGUAAAAGUGAAUUUUGCUUAAUUGUCCCCUUUACGGCAUGUUUCUUGAUAAGGCAUGCAGAAAGCAUUCAGCCACACACCUGCUAUAAGGAAAGGGUCCUUUGUAGCAAAUUUCUUAACCAGAGUAAAGCACUUAUUUGCCGUGUUUCUAAUCACAGCUGGCUGAUAAGCAUCGAAAGGCUCUUGAGCAGAGGCGCAGAUAUGGCCUCCCAUGAACACACACACACACACACACACACACUUGUACGGAAGUGUGCAUGCUUUUCCAAAGAUGUAAGUCAGAAACGUUGAAGCAUUUGCUUGCGUUAAAUGACUUUUAGUCAUGGGCUGUUCGCACACACUGCACUGCUUAUUCCAGCUAUUUCAGGCACAGGUGUAGAUUGGUUUUAACAUUGAUGGUGGCAUUUUGAAAUCAGACUGAAUAGAUGCACAGAUAUGCACAUCUGCACAGUCUGUAUGCGGUUUGCCACAGUAUUAUCAUUUUAAGUAUAAGUAAUAAUAAAAACAAACAAACAAACAAACAAACAAAAAGCCAUAGACAUGCACCAGUAAAAAUUAGUUAUUGUCUUUUUUGUGUGUGUGAGAAAUUAAUAAUUUGCAUGGGUGAUCACACAACGUGGAAACAUUCUGAACUUAAAAGAACAUAUUCUGAUUCUUAAAUGAAUUAUCUGGUUCACAAAACUAGUUCUAAAUUAUUCUUUCCCAAAAUUGACUGAUCUUCUCUUGUUUAAAGCACUCACUUAAAGUGAGGAUUAGUGCACUUUUAAAUGAAAAUUACCCCAAGCUUUACCUUCAAGCCAUCCUAUGUAUGUGUAUAUCUGACGAACACAAUUGUAGAAAUAUUAAUAAAUAUCCUGACACAUCCGAGCUUUAUAAUGGCAGUAUGUGUUACCAAACGAGUAUGAGCUGAAGAAAGUGUCUCCAUCCACAUUUAUUCAUCAUAAACAUAAUCCACACGGCUCCGGAAGGUUAAUAAAGGCCUUCUGAAGCAAUGCGUCUGAAGCAAUCCUUUAAUGAUGACAUAAAUUUGAGUCUCUUCGUCACAUUAAGUGACCAUGUAACUUAGUUCAGAAGUCAUAUGGAAUACAUUCAUUAUACUUUUAUGGUGCGUUUGCAGCUUCAGUUACCUUUAUUUUCAAUUAUUUUAUUGAAAACAUGCAAAUUCUUCACAAUUUUUCCUUUUGUUUUCCACGAAAAUAAAAUGUGUUUGAAAAAGGUUGAGCAAAUGAUAGAAUAUUCCCUUUUGGGGAAACAAUUAAUUUAACCUUGAUAGUGACAUUUGAUUUGAGGAGUAAUAUACCACACUCUCACACACUCUCACACACACACACACACACACACACACACACACACACACACACACACACACACACACACACACACACACACACAUCUUUACUUCUGUUGACACGCUUUAUGCAUGUUGCUCUGUCUUUACACCCCUCUGUCAACACUAUAAAUUUGAAUCAUGUGUUCUUGCUCAUCUUUAAUUCAUGUGCCUCUCUUCAUAAAUCUGUUUACUGUAAUAGUCUAUACCUGGCCUGUUUUAUGUAUGUAAAUAAGCCCUUUACUCUGAGAUAUUUUUUUACAGCGUAAUAUGCAUCUGAUUUGUACGGAGCCCAGGAAGUCACCUUUAGGAGGAAAAAUCUCUGGCCACAGUUUUGCAAUUCGUCCCCUCAGUUUAUAAACCAUACACACAGAUUCUUAAAUUGUUUCCUUGUUUUAUCAAAUCGCUCCCAUGGAUGAAUAAAUCUUACACAUGAAUUUCCAAUCAGUGCGCUAAGAUUUGUGAACCAUACUUUCAGUUUUCAGUCUAUACCCACAAAUUCAUAAUCCGUGCCCACACUUUCAGAAUCCUUUCCCACAGUUUUGCAAAGUGUACUCACGGAUUUGUGGCCCAUCCUUAAUUUUUUAAAUCUAGUCCCGACACAAGAACAGAGCAAGCUGCCAGUUCUGUUAACAUAUCUUUUAUAUAUAAGCGAAUAAAAAAGGCAUAUUUUAGCAUGCAAAUAUUUUCUCUCAAUACCAUUUCAUCAAUAUUUGCCAUGCCUACUUCCAGCCUCAGGUAUUUGGCAAAAUGGUAAUUGCAAAGCCUUCAGUCAGCUCCACCAAGAAGGAUGAAAGCUUAAUGGAACAUAGAGGAAUAAUCACAGAAGACGUCCAUGACAGUCAAUUAAGCACAAACAAUAGAGUGUUAUUUAUUUACUGAAGACAUACAAACCCCUUUCCAGACAUCUGCCACCCAUUCUACUUAAUAAAGUAUGUCUGUGUUAGUGUUUAUAAUCAAACUGACUGAAGAUUUACCAAAAAACAAGUAAAUGCGAAGAUAGAAUUUUUCAAAUUUUAGCUGUGUUAACUCUGCUUAGUUAAAGAAACCUGACUGCUUGACAGCAACUGCUCAGCACAGCUGAGGAUGGAGGGCUUAUCAGAAGAAACAUGCUGCUGAGGAAAGGAAAGCUGUGGCUUUCCGUGACCCACUGGCAUUGCAUUUGCCUGAGGAGAUUAUGAGGACAGUAGGUGACAUAAAGUCAGUGUGGACACAUUCUAACAGUAAACCACUGUAAUGUUCAAACAGUAUAGCCUCAAAGAAGUAUUUGUCCUUAUUGUCUUUGUUAUUUCACAUUGCACUGGUUGGCUUUAAGUCUUUAUUUAUUAAUUAAGGUUGUCAAAGACCCAUAGCCAUCUGUAUAAAAAUGUCUUUUAAAUUUAAUUGGUUAUGCUUGCAAUAGCUGCUACCAAUCACUUCUUUGAAUUCAAGAGCAGCCUGCAACAAAAGGUGUCUUGUUUUCUGUUUAUUUCAGUACCCUUUAAUAUCUCAAGUACUUUAUAACAACUAUAUUAUUUUAUUUUUAGUAAAUGAAUGGUGUACAUUUUAGCACUACAAUUUUACUGAUAUGUUUCAAAAAUUAAUAUCUCUGUUGUAAUAAUUUUGCACACCCAUUUCUCUCCAGUAAUGCAAAACAAUUUGUUGCAACAGUGUUUAGGAGAAAAUAACAUACAAGAGGUAUUUUAUCCAGAGAGGCCUUUGGUCCCAUUUUACACUAUCAUCUAAAGUAAUGUUCAUGAAGUUAGCAAUUAAUUAACAUAUUACCUAUUCACAACUGUAAAAAGGGACUAAAUCUUAGUUUUGUUUUGUUUGUUUGUUUGUUUUUUUACGUUAAAUAUGUAAAUGUUAAAGUUAUGUUCAGUUUGUGUUAGUCACAUACAUUUAGUUUUCAUGAUUUUUUGUAUUCAAAUAUGUUUGAAGAAACAUAAACCUAAUAAUUACUUAGGUUGAAAAAAAAAAAAAAAAAAAAAGUGAACUCAGGAAGAGCCAAAUGGUUUUUCACAGCAUGGUAUGUUCUAGUUAUUUUAGAGAGGAUUUUCUUACCGUGUUCAUUUUCUACUGAAAUAGAUGUAGGGCAAAAAACAACCCAAGUUAAAACAGGAAAUCGCUGUGUUUAACCAGCUUCUUCACAAUAACUAUAUUACUGUUACCUGAAAGAAAUAUACUGAUUUAGUUUGAUGUGUGUAACAGGGCCUAUGAGCUUUAUUAACCAGCAGGAGCAAUCCAUCAAUAAUUUUACUGCUUCACUGCCACUGCAAGAAGUCAUUUCCAAAAACCAGUGAACUGCACUCACAAGAGUCAUUCUCUGGAAUAUGCCAGAACAACGAUUAGAUGAGUGAGCAAAAACUGUCUGUAUCUUAAUACUGACCAGUGACUGUGUAGUAGUCACUCUGGAGAGGAAAGCAUUUGUGUGAUUAACAUGAUAUUUUUGAUAUUCCAAACAACAUAUUUAAAUCUGAAAUUCACUUUUUGUUUUUUCUUUCUUUCUUUUUCUACAAAUACUAUGAAUACCUAACUGAACAUACACGCUAUACAGUAGUGAAUGUGGAGGGGUUUGUGCAGAAAAAUAGAUUGUUCAAAUUAGGUCAACAUAAAGAGAGAGUUAACAUCCACUCCUUCUCCUUGGUCUUUCCAUUGUCUCUUUGUCCACCCUGAUAAAUGACUGUAUCAGGCUUUACAAGCACACAUGAUGUACGCAUUGUUCUGGCCACAGUGGAUGGCCACAGUUGGCUAAUCAAUUUGAAAUCCUACCGGAGAGAAUGGAAGUGUUUUUCUAUAACGUAUCAGCUUAAAGCGGGGAAGCAUUUGAUUUGAACAUCAAACUGGCCUACAAGACCCAAAUAGAACCUUUCACCAAAGAUUUAUGAGCUGUUUUAUCCCUACUGUACUAGAAGUGUUACUUUAUCCAUUUGGGAGGACAUGUAUUAGAAAUGUCGAAGGGGACAAUUAAUUCCUGACAAUGAUAGCAGUAUCACAGUUACCAGUGUCUAAGUUGAAGUUAUUAGUAUUCUAUGCACUUGUGGCUAAUACUGCCUUUGUGUGUGCUGACACAAUGAAGAAAAUGGUUAUGACAUCAGAAAACCAAUGUACUGGAGAUGACUUCCAACAGAGUUGCAAAGAGGAUCUUCUCCCAGUGCCUAAGGCAAGAAGAGAAAUCCAGAACAAUUCUUUUAGCAUUACCUGGACUUUGCAAUAUCCCUGGUUUUCACUGCUGGCGAUAUGUGGACUAUGGCAUUUUUGGAGAUUCUUGGCCAUUUCUUGACUUCUUAUGGGAAUCAUUUGAAUCAUUUCAGAAAAUUAAAAAAUAUAAUAUCAAUUUAAUGUACAUACAGUUUGAUGGAAAAAAAAAAAAAGAAAGAAAGAACUUCCCUCUAAAUAUUAAAGGAAAGUAUUUGCAUGCUAAUUAGCGCUAAUGAUCUUUUUAGCACAAUGAUUAACUCCAGGGUGUUCAGCUGGGAUUGAGUGCCAUGGGGGGGACUAGACAGCCAGCUGCUGAUGCCAGCAGAGUAUGUUCUUAAAUGCUUCUAUGCAUUUACCAUAAACAGCAAAUACAUUAAUGAUAGUUGGGCAUAUACAUCUUAACUUUGCCAAAUUGGUGUUAUAUUCACAAAACUAAUGGUCUGUGCAUUAAUGUGCAAACUUGUUUUAUGUAAUAACUGGGGUUAUCUACAACUGCCCUGGUAUAUAGGAGUUACUUACUUUAGUAAAGCAAAAGUCUUGCAAAUAUUUGUAAACAUUUUAUGAAGAUCAUGUGUAAGUAAAUAUAUUACUAUUCCACAAUUUAAUGUGUGUAAUUAAAUGUGUUAUUACAAAUAUAAAUACAUAACAUACAAGUUUCAACAGAAUUUACAUUAGCGUUUCAAUUUCUAAGUUUACUAAGUGUAGAUACUCUGUCUCAUUUAGAUUAAAAAAAAUGUGCAUCACUCAAUUUCUGCAGUGACGUAGGCCGUAGGGAGUAUGGCUUGUGAAAGUAACUUUUGAUGCGAUCGACCCAAUUUCGAAUCCGGCAUUUAUUUUCAACAAAAAAACCUGAAGCUUUGGAGCACAAGACUUAAAUUUGGUCUCAUUUUAAAGAAGACCUUUGGCAGAUUGUUUUCGAAGUGAAAAAAAAAAAAAAAAAAAAAUAUUAACAAAAUGCAUAAUUUUAUAGUUAAAUGGCCCUGGACUUAAAAAUUGCAGUUUUAAUGGGUUUCAAUGGAGGCAUUUUUUUGUCCUUAGGUCCUAUAUUUUGUGUACCUGAUGUAAAAUAGAUUUAUUAAAGUAAGUGAGGGUGAAAUAGUAAGAAUACAAUAAAAAUACAUCUACCAAAAUGUAUGCAGUUGGAAUUAACACAGGCUAAAUGAUUCAAAAAUAAAUAAAUAAAAAAUUAAGAAGAUAAAAAUGUCCUAAAGUAUUUUUAUUUGAAGAAUAUUAUUUCUGUAAUACAUUUUCAUUAUUUAUUUAUUAACAAUAACUUUUAAAACGUAUUGUGAAUUCCAUCUUGACAAUCAGCACAAUCAUGACAUUUGUGCUGGCUGUAACUUUUAGUGGUGUUACAGUAAUUGGUGUUUUUGCCACUGGUUUUAUGUCUUUGGUCUAACUGGUUCUUAUUGAUUUUAAUUGACAAAAUAAGAAUUAAUGUUGCUGUAUAUUAGAAUGAUAACUCACAUUUCUGAAGGAGAAAUUUGAUAUUUUUAGAUGCAAAUCGUCCCCUUGGAAUUAUAAGGUUCUAUCUGACAUUUUUGUCAAAAUUGAGUUAUUCACAUUAUUCAUAUUCUGUGACAACUUAUUUACAUUAUGUGAUGUUUCUUUUUUUAAGUUGCGUACAUUUUGGUACUUUUUUUUAGAAAACAAAAAGGUUCUAUCUACAAAGUUACACUCUAACUUGGGUCUAUAAGGUUCUAUCUGCGUGAGCCAAUCAGCACUUCGAAUGCAGACACGAGGACCAAUCAGGAUCAGCGUUUUUUGUCAUGUCACCAAAUUAGCGGAAACGAUUGCUUUAACAUGCUAAAUCGGUGAAUCGGUGAUCGUUAGACAGCAGCACUAUUAAGAGGAUAGAUUCGGGUUUUGUAGUCUAUUUUCUUUACUCCAGUCAUGUCAUUGUCAUAUGAGGUGAAGUUAUGUAUAUACUAGGUUAUGUUUUAACCUUGAUCCAUCCUGUGUACUUGUACUGAGCUGUAUGUACUAUGUAUCUAUAAAGCUGUACGAAAUGGCACACUGGAUUAAAGUUAAAUUAAAGUUAAGUUAAAUUUUACAUUGUUGGUAAAAACCGAGUUGUUGCAUAGUUGAAGUAAUUUAAAUAUUUUAAAAGUGAAACAUUUUUAAUUAUAUAUAGUCAGUGAAACAUUUUUCAAUGUUUAUUAAACUUUGUUAAACACCUUUGCUGAAGCAUUGUCUGUUUUCUUGCAGUUUUGUUAGUCUUAAAAUCUCUUAAAUUUUACAAUAUUAAGCCUUAAAGGUCAAAUAGUCAAUCAUUUAAUUGAUUGGGUCGUAAUUACAACAAUAAACAUUAGCAUGUUAUUUCAGCCAUACUGAUGUCUAGAGAGAAAGCCAUUGUACCUGUCCCAUUUUCAGUGGAAUAAAGUCCUGUCAGAUGUAUUACAGUAGCUGCUUUCUGUCUAAACAAAAGGAAAAUUAAACUUAAAUGGUUCCUGCAAUAAUGUGUUAAAUUACCCAUCAUAUUCCUACCUAAAUUUAACAUCUGCACUGGACAAAAGAUUAAGCACUGCCUUUUAUGCUUAACUUGAACAAGAAAAAAAUAUUCAUUUAAAAUAUGAAAUAAAUGUCAUAAAACCAUUAAAUUUAACUUUCUCAUGCAUGUCAACACAUUGUCACAACACUAAUUUUGUGUUCUAAAACAAAUUUUAAGUAAACUGUUUUUCAUGUUUGAAAGAAAGUUGUUCCCCAUAUAGAUUUUGCUAUAUGGAAUGCAAAAACUUUGAAACUCAAUAUCUCAAAACUGCUCAGAAUGCAGAUAGAUCCUUAUAAUUCCAAGGGGACAAAAUGUCCACCCAUUUGUAGACUGACCCAGCUCACCCAGCUGACCAAACCCCUUACAAAUCUCAUCAGGAGAACACUUAUCCAGUCCUUGUUUUACCCAGUUGCAUUAAACGUCAAGUCAGAGCCUGCCAUGGUAAUGCAGUGGGCUUUCAGCAGAAGUCAAUGGGAACAUGGUGCCAUUUCCUCAAGGCAGGACACAAUAAUUGGGCAUACUUAACCAUUCAUGCUGUCCUACUGGGCAUGCCUGUGGCUGUCCUGAGAUGCUGGAUGCUUACGAGCUGGAAUUUUCUUGUCGUACUCUUAUGAAGUCUUGUGCAUGUGCAGUUAUCUAGGGGUAGUGUGAUAAUUGCAAUUAUGGAAUGUUUCAUUGCAAAAUUGAUCUAAUAAAUAAGGUGAUGUUUUACUCUUAUGUAACACAAAAAGACAAUUAAACCAUCUGCUAUGUCCUAUCCUUACAAAACGACUGACUUGUCAAACACAACUUGGGCUAUUAUUUGUGCCUCAGCAGCUCGGAGAUGGUCAUGCAAUCUGCCAGAAAAAGCUUGUUAGCCCAUUCAGGCAUGCCAUGUUAUGACAGUUAUUAGGGGAUGGAGUAAUUGUUUUGAAUUUAAAAUUGUGUUAGAGAUGGCAAAGCAAAUGAGGCACUGGCCAGGAUGUCUGAUUUGCAGAAUGAGUGGGAAACAUCUUUUCUUCAGCUACAUUGUAAUAGAUUAACAUUCUGGCUUUUUCUGUAUGCCAUUCAAAGAAAUAAUCAUGUUUGGGUUAAACUACUUUUCUUCCCUAACAUGGUUUUAAUAAUUCAUAAUUAUUUCUUCUGAUGUAAAUUGAACAUCUCAAAUAAUGUUUCAAUGCACUUGUUUCAGUUUAUGCUACAUAAAUUCACUGGCCUUCUGUGGAAAAAGUGUAUGGCUUUGUUUUUUAUUCAUAGAUUUGUUAUUCCCCACCUUUCAGAUUUAUAGGUAAAUGACCUCUGUUAUGCUUUAUGUUAUGGGUCCUCUGUUACCUCUGUUACCUCUGUUAUGGGUCAUAGGUUUGCUGUCAGGUCCUUAUGGCUUAGUGUCCAAAAACUUUGGAGCCACUGCAUAUGAGACCUUUAAACAGCAUUUUUACAUCAUAAUUACAUGUAAACAACUAAUUUUUGGAAUUUUUUCACUGUAAACCUCUUAAACUCCAGUCCAGGGUUCUGCCAAGUUUAGCUCCAACCCUAAUCAAACACACCUGAACAAACUAAUCAAAGUCUUCAAAAGUACUUGCAAAUUACAGGCAGGUGUGUUUGAUUACAGUUGUAAAUAAAGUCACUAGGACUCAGGUUCUUCAGGACAGGAGCUGAAUAGCUCUGCUUUAAAACUUCUAGAAUGAUCAAGCACUCUUGGAAACAGACAGCUUAAUCUCUGUAAGCUUCAAGCAUGAAGAAGGACACAGUGAAGGCCUGUGGGAGAAAAUGCCACACCUGUUGUUUUGUUUGGCAUGUGGCGACAUGAGAGAGAGCUGGACCUAGGACAAAUUUCCCAGGAUCCCUGUUGGAUUUCAUGAAUAAUCAGAUAAAGGCAUGAAUUAGCAAUGACGCUUGGCUGGGUGCUACUGCUUGGAUUGCCUUUUUUUUGGGACAAUAAAAAGAUUAAAAGAUUUCCAGGGUAAGGAUUGAACCUUAAUUGGGCUACUUCCCAAUAAGACUUUAAAAACUAUCGAGAAAUGUUAAUUAAUACAGCUUUUUUUCUUGUUUUGCAGAGAAGUUGUGCCUUAAUAAGAGCUUCUGCUUUUUUGAACAAUAAAUUAAAUAUUGUGUGCACUGUUUUUUGUGGGCACUACAGAAGGUACUAAUGAGGAUAGAAGUUAAGGUUGAGCCCUAUUUUGUGUGCUUAAAAACAAGCUACAAAAAUAAAUCACUGACAGGAUAUUCACUGAUAAGCUAACUGAAUGGCAUUGUUUUUAACACUGAUGUCUCAUUAAAUUUUACAAAAUAAAUAAAUAAAAAAAUGUAAAGGCUGUUGUGGUGCAAAUUAGAUACCCUUUAAUUAAAUACUUUAAUUAUUUAUAUUUUCUUCAGUAAUUUUGAAUAUUUUUAUAACAGUGUACCCGAACAAUACCCUCUUAUGUAUGCAAUUUGCAGGGGCGUGACUAUGGGUGGGGCAAAAGUCCAUCUGCCCACACAACUCCAGGCCAGCAAUCUGUGCAGAAGUUUAGGACAGAGCCAUUGAAUUACAUUAAAGUUACUUGCUUUUAUUAGAUUUAAAACUUGCUGUGUUGAUGUUGUUCAUUUUGAUUGCUAUCUAACACUAUCUGAAAUACUAUCAUUUCUUUUGUAGUAAUGAUGCUACACAGAAUAUUUAUAAAAAGAUAAAAAGACACAAAUGAGUCAUAAUUAAUAAUGCGUUUAAUUGCGUACAAUACAAAAUAAACAUUCAGUUAGAAAUCCUAAAAAAAAACAUGUCUAUGUAGUUCUUGUAUAAUGUUCUUGUAUAGUAAAUGACUGAAUGUGCGCCUAUAGUCUUACUAUAAAUUGAGCUUGUAUUAAAUUGUGAUAUGAAAUAAUUACAGUGUUAUAGUGUUCAUAAUUUAUAUGUUGGUUAACCAGUUUGAUUAUGUUCAAUAUGUUCUACCAUAGUUGUGGAGUCUCUUGUCAGACAGAACAUAAUUAAACAUAAACAUUAAAAAAAAAAAAAAAAAAAAAAAAAAAAAACAUUUUCUAUAGGCUACACUUGAGCAAUAGCAUGAACCUGGCUCUCUUAAACCUAAAUGGAAUGGAAAAGGACUGGAAGACCAAGAAAACAUUCAAAAUAUGAUAUAUUUCUUAGAUUUUCUUCUUUGAGAAGAUUUUUGAGAAGCCAUUUAUUCUGAUUUUAUUAUUUGUUUAUUUAUUUAUUUAUUUUUACAUUUUUGUGUACAUAUUUCCUGUAUUUUCUGUUUGUAUCAUAAUAAAGACCAACAGAUAAAUACGGAUGGCCAUUAAAACAUUGCUAAAACAACAAAGCUGGUGGUAUAUAUACAUAAAUAUGCAGUGGGGUUUGUUUAAAGAUAGAAACAAUAUCCUAGAACCUUCAUUUUUUUGCUUAGCUGUAUAUUCAUAAAAUUUAAAGUUAAUUAAAAAGACAGUUUGUUAACUAGCAUUACUUAUAAUCAUCCCACUUUGAUCCUCCUGUCAGCACUCCUUUCAGAAAGAAAAAAAAGGUCACUGUAAAAUUAUAGCUAAUAAGGACUAAUUCAGCACAUCAAAUGUGAGCCACUUUUCUAAUGACAUAGACUUGAAUGAAGGUCAAAGCUACUGUAAUUCUCUAAAUUAAAUGCAUAGUCUGAUCAGGGUUUGUUGUAGCUAUUUCUCAUCCAGUGCCACAUAAGCAACUGAAGUUCAUUUCAGACCCAGAUUAAUUAUUUAUAUUUAUGAAUCUAUGGCUUUGUUCUAAAAAACCUAGUGAGCUGCCUUGCUGUCUACUGCCUAAACUGGCAGCAUCCUAAUUAGAAUCUCAUAAGUGCCUCAUAUGGGACAUUCUACACAGGCAACAACUCUGUAUGCCAUACAAAUAGCAUGAGUGAAUCUGUAACAGUAUUCACGGCAUCAGUCAAGCUAAUUAUAUUAAAUGCAUUUUCAAUAACUCAUCUCAUGCAUUUACAAUGCAUUCUAGUAUUUUGUUCCUUGGGAAAAGCACAUGCAACGCUAUAGGCACGUACUUAUGCACUAUUCUUUGAAAUUUUGUAAUAAAUAGUGUAGUGUGUUCACGUUGAAAAUUCCAAGUAGUGUGAGUAGUGUGUUCACAUUGAAAAUUCCAAAAAGAAAAAGUGAAAAAUGUUGUUGUGCACUUCAUGCACUCAACUGUCACAGCUUUAAUAACGUAGCAGUGGGGGAGGGACUGUUAGCCUCUGUAGUGAAUUAGCUCAAAAGGUAAAUAUAAAUAAUUAAUCAUAACUUGUUAUAAUUAAUUAUAAAUAUUUUAAUCAGUUAAUCGAAUUAACAUGAUGUAGCUGAAUUAAUAUUACAAUCAAUUAAUCUUUUCAACCAGCGUUCUUUCCACUCAGUAUUGAUCAUCUAUCAACUCUUCAGAAAGGAUAUUUUCCAUAGCCACAGAAAAAAAAACAAAAAAAACCUCUUUCUUAGCAUGUAGCUUUAAUCGUAAUCGUUGUCAGUGACAUAUGUUAAAAAGCAGAUCAGAAUCAACUCGCAAGAAUGUGCACACAAGUUUUAUUGAACUAAAUCACGGACACAUAGCUAGACUAUA